rnacentral:rRNA from 1 species
CCUACGGGUGGCAGCAGUGAGGAAUAUUGGUCAAUGGACGAGAGUCUGAACCAGCCAAGUAGCGUGAAGGAUGACUGCCCUAUGGGUUGUAAACUUCUUUUAUAUGGGAAUAAAAUGUUCCACGUGUGGGAUUUUGUAUGUACCUUAUGAAUAAGGAUAGGCUAACUCCGUGCCAGCAGCCGCGGUAAUACGGUGGAUCCGAGCGUUAUCCGGAUUUAUUGGGUUUAAAGGGAGCGUAGGUGGAUUGUUAAGUCAGUUGUGAAAGUUUGCGGCUCAACCGUAAAAUUGCAGUUGAAACUGGCAGGCUUGAGUACAGUAGAGGGGUGUGGAAUUCGUGGUGUAGCGGUGAAAUGCUUAGAUAUCACGAAGAACUCCGAUUGCGAAGGCAGCGCACUGGACUGCAACUGACACUGAGGCUCGAAAGUGUGGGUAUCAAACAGGAUUAGAUACCCGUGUAGUC